ensembl:lncRNA
GAGCAGACAAAGCCCGCAGAGGCGAUGCGUGGAGAACACGGCUCUGCGCGCUGGGGGGUGGGGGUGGGGGGCCGGGAUGGGGUGCCGGGUUGGAGGGUGGGACCCCCUGGCAAAAGACGGGGUCCCCUCUUCCCCAAGCGGCAAGCCAUCCCCCUUCCUCCCUUCCCUCCCCCCAGUCUCGGAGAUCAGAGAAGCACCGACUGGGAGACAGCGAGAACACCAAGGCCCAGAGAACCCAGGUCCUGUGACUCUUGCGCCUUCUAUUUCAUCAUGCUUCCUUUUUCAGGAAAGGGAAGAGGAAGUUAGAGAGGGGUAGGAAGGGACUUUCUAUUUCCCGAGCCUAUUGCUAGGCUCUCUUCUUUACAUUUACAAACUUGAUCUCACUUAAUC